rnacentral:rRNA from 1 species
GCACAAGCGGUGGAGCAUGUGGCUUAAUUCGACGCAACGCGAAGAACCUUACCAAGGCUUGACAUAUACCGGAAACAUCCAGAGAUGGGUGCCCCCUUGUGGUCGGUAUACAGGUGGUGCAUGGCUGUCGUCAGCUCGCGUCGUGAGAUGUUGGGUUAAGUCCCGCAACGAGCGCAACCCUUGUCCUGUGUUGCCAGCAUGCCCUUCGGGGUGAUGGGGACUCACAGGAGACCGCCGGGGUCAACUCGGAGGAAGGUGGGGACGACGUCAAGUCAUCAUGCCCCUUAUGUCUUGGGCUGCACACGUGCUACAAUGGCCGGUACAAAGAGCUGCGAUGCCGUGAGGCGGAGCGAAUCUCAAAAAGCCGGUCUCAGUUCGGAUUGGGGUCUGCAACUCGACCCCAUGAAGUCGGAGUUGCUAGUAAUCGCAGAUCAGCAUUGCUGCGGUGAAUACGUUCCCGGGC